UCGACCUCAAAUCAGGUAGGACUACCCGCUGAACUUAAGC
rnacentral:rRNA from 1 species